rnacentral:rRNA from 1 species
ACGUAGGUGGCAAGCGUUAUCCGGAAUUAUUGGGCGUAAAGAGGGAGCAGGCGGGAACCAAGGUCUAAGUUGAAAGGCUGAUGCUUAACAUUAGGAAAGGCUUAGAAACCAGGGAUCUAGAGUUCUGAAGAGGAUCGUGGAAUUCCAUGAGUAGCGGUGAAAUGCGUAGAUAUAUGGAGGAACACCAGUGGCGAAGGCGACGAUCUGGGCAGAAACUGACGCUGAGUCCCGAAAGCGUGGGGAGCAAAUAGGAUUAGAUACCCUAGUAGUCCACGCUGUAAACGAUGAGUACUAAGUGUUGGUGGUGAGACAUCAGUGCUGUAGUAAACACAAUAAGUACUCCGCCUGAGUAGUACGUUCGCAAGAAUG